UACGUAGGGGGCAAGCGUUGUCCGGAUUCAUUGGGCGUAAAGAGCGUGUAGGCGGCCAGGUAGGUCGGUUGUGAAAACUGGAGGCUACAAUCCUCAGAGGUCGACCGAAACCUCUGGCUAGAGUCCGGGAGAGGAGAGUGGGAAUUCCUGGUGUAGCGGUGAAAUGACGCAGAUAUCAGGAAGAACACCCGUGGCGAAAGCGGCUCUCUGGAACGGUACUGACGCUGAGACGCGAAAGCGUGGGGAGCGAACAGG
rnacentral:rRNA from 1 species